GAUGAACGCUGGCGGCGUGCCUAAUACAUGCAAGUCGAGCGAAUGGAUUAAGAGCUUGCUCUUAUGAAGUUAGCGGCGGACGGGUGAGUAACACGUGGGUAACAUGCCCAUAAGACUGGGAUAACUCCGGGAAACCGGGGGCUAAUACCGGAUAACAUUUUGAACCGCAUGGUUCGAAAUUGAACGGCGGCUUCGGCUGUCACUUAUGGAUGGACCCGCGUCGCAUUAGCUAGUUGGUGAGGUAACGGCUCACCAAGGUAACGAGGCGUAGCCGACCUGAGAGGGUGAUCGGCCACACUGGGACUGAGACACGGCCCAGACUCCUAUGGGAGGCGGUAGUAGGGAAUCUUCCGCAAUGGACGAAAGUCUGACGGAGCAACGCCGCGUGAGUGAUGAAGGCUUUCGGGUCGUAAAACUCUGUUGUUAGGGAAGAACAAGUGCUAGUUGAAUAAGCUGACACCUUGACGGUACCUAACCAGAAAGCCACGGCUAACUACGUGCCAGCCGCCGCCGUAA
rnacentral:rRNA from 1 species